GAUGAACGCUGGCGGCGUGCCUAAUACAUGCAAGUCGAGCGAACAGACGAGGAGCUUGCUCCUCUGACGUUAGCGGCGGACGGGUGAGUAACACGUGGAUAACCUACCUAUAAGACUGGGAUAACUUCGGGAAACCGGAGCUAAUACCGGAUAAUAUAUUGAGCCGCAUGGUUCAAUAGUGAAAGACGGUUUUGCUGUCACUAUAGAUGGGUUCCGCGCCGCAUUAGCUAGUUGGUAAGGUAACGGCUUACCAAGGCAACGAUGCGUAGCCGACCUGAGAGGGUGAUCGGCCACACUGGAACUGAGACACGGUCCAGACUCCUACGGGAGGCAGCAGUAGGGAAUCUUCCGCAAUGGGCGAAAGCCUGACGGAGCAACGCCGCGUGAGUGAUGAAGGUCUUCGGAUCGUAAAACUCUGUUAUUAGGGAAGAACAAAUGUGUAAGUAACUAUGCACGUCUUGACGGUACCUAAUCAGAAAGCCACGGCUAACUACGUG
rnacentral:rRNA from 1 species